UACGUAGGGCGCAAGCGUUAUCCGGAAUUAUUGGGCGUAAAGAGCUCGUAGGCGGUCUGUUGCGUCGGCUGUGAAAACCCGGGGCUCAACCCCGGGCCUGCAGCCGAUACGGGCAGACUAGAGUUCGGCAGGGGAGACUGGAAUUCCUGGUGUAGCGGUGAAAUGCGCAGAUAUCAGGAGGAACACCGGUGGCGAAGGCGGGUCUCUGGGCCGAUACUGACGCUGAGGAGCGAAAGCGUGGGGAGCGAACAGG
rnacentral:rRNA from 1 species